rnacentral:lncRNA from 1 species
UUUUUUUUUUUUUUUUUUUUUUGAGACAGAGUCACUCUAUCUUUCAGCCUAUGAGUGCAGCCUCUUGAUCUUGGCUCACUGCAACCUCUGUCUGCUGGGUUCAAGCAAUUCUGGUGCCUCAGCCUCCCAAGUAGCUGGUGUGUCUGCCACCACACCCGGCUAAUUUUUGUAUUUUAACUUCCAUUUUAUAUUAUUUUUGAGUCUGUCUGUCACCAAGACUGGAGUGUAGUGGCGCCAUCUCGGCUCACUGCGACCUCCACCUCCCGGGUUCAAGCAAUUCUCCUACCUCAGUCUCCUGAAUAGCAGAGAUUACAGACACUUACCAAGCCCGGCUACUUUUUGUGUAUUUAGUAGAGACAGCGUUUCACCAUGUUGGCCAGGCUGGUCUCGAUCUCCUGACCUCAAGUAAUCAGCACACCUCGGCCUUCCAGAGUGCUAGGAUUACCGGAUGACCCACACGCCCGGCCCAUUUUUGUAUUUUUAGUAGAUACAGGGUUUCACCAUGUUGGCCAGGCUGCUCUCAAACUCCUCAGGUCAAGUGAUCCUCCCACCUAUGCCUCCUAAGUAGCUGGGACCACAGACACACAGACGUGCACCACCAUACCUGGCGAAGUUUUGUAUUUUUGGUAGAGAUGGGGUUUCACCAUGUUGCUCAGGCUGUUCUCAAACUCCUGAGUUCAAGCGAUCUACCUGCCACAGCCUCCUAGAGUGCUGGGAUGACAGGCAUGAGCCACCGCACCCAGCCUCUGCGUGGGGUUUCGUCAGGGCUGGGUCUGUGCCCUGAAGGGGAGCUCAUUCCAGCCCAGCUCCCCACUGCUGCAGCUUGUGUGUGGACUCCUCCAGAAGGGGAGCGGGAGUUUCCCUGUAGGAGUUUAUCAUCCAUGGUGAGGAGGGCAGCAGGGGGCACUAUUUCCUCAGGGUGAGGUCUUUAGUUAGGCCUCUGAGCCCAAGCUAAGCCAUCAUAUCCCCUGUGACCUGCACGUAUACAUCCAGAUAGCCUGAAGCAACUGUAAAAAUAUCCUUAACUGAUGACAUUCCAAUAUUGUGAUUUGUUUCUGCCCUACCCUGACUGAUCAAUGUGCUUUGUAAUCUCCCCCACCCUUCAGAAGGCUCUUUGUAAUCCUCCCCACCCUUGAGAAUGGACUUGGUGAGAUCCACCCCCUGCCUGCAAAGCAUUGCCCCUAACUCCACCGCCUGUCCCAAAACCUAUGAGAACUAAUGAUAAUCCCACCACACUUUGCUGACUCUCUUUCCAGACUCAGCCCGGCUGCACCCAGGUGAAAUAAACAGCCUCGUUGCUCACACAAA